rnacentral:misc_RNA from 1 species
GCUCUCAAUGCAAACAUCCUUAACAUGCUAAUAUACUAUAGAAUAACAAUUAGUGCUUUUGCAUAUCAGUCUAUUCUAUCAUGUCGAUUCCGUAGCAACGCACGGGCAUAUACCUAGUAGAUUGAUGAGGAGGUUGAGUUUAUACGCUCUGAACUGCAAUUCCUUCUUCGAGGUGCUGGUGCAAGCUACCAGUGUCACACAAGAACAGUUCAAGAGAAUGUUUCUUUCUGUACAAAUAACCGUUUAUUUGAACUCAAUGUUUACCAUUUGCUUUGCAUAAAAAAAGAAACAUUUUGCAGAAAUUUAUGUCGGCUUACCACUAUGUUUCUUUGUAUCAGCUCUGUACCCUAUGAUCUGAUCCUGUUGUUCUGAUCAGAAACACAAUCUAUGAUGAUGCUACUAUCUGUAUUGUGCACGCACCAGACUGAAGCUGAAGGUGAGAGGGCAUCAAGCCUGGAGGUCUCCCUUCUCCUCUGGCUCCAGCUCUCUGAGCUCGUCGGCUUCACUCCUCUUGCAGCUCCUGUAGAACAUGCAGGUGACGAUGAUCUCCAGCACGACGCAGAUCGCGUGGAUGUAGGCGAUCGAGAAGGCCUCGCCGGCGACACCCGGCGCGAGCCUCCCGUCCCUCCGACGCUGCGCGACGACGCGGAGUCCGAACAGCGCCUCGGCCGCCGCCAUGCCGAGGUUGGUGGGCAGCGCCAGCGCCAGCGCCGUGGACACCCGGCCCCGGAUCGCGACGCAGGCCCUGAGCACCGCGGCGUGGCCCGCGCACCCGGGCUCCGUGGCGGCCACGACGAUGGCGAGGUUGCAGACCACGGUGGCGACGCCGACGACGAGCGAGUAGACGAUGGCGCCCGCGGCCGAGAGCGCGAGCGUCCAGACGUGGGAGGUGAGACCCAGCAGGUCGGCGGCGCCGAAAGCCAGCAGCAGCAGCGAGAACACCGCGGCGUUGGCGGAGAGCAUGAGGAAGGCGUUGAGGAGGUGCGUGGCGACGACGGCCGGGUACGCGCGCGCCACGGCCGCGCACGGCGGGAGCGCGGCCACGGCGACCCGCCGCCGCCGAGGCGGCGGCGACUCCGACGCGUCGUCGUCCCGGAGGCGGAGCAUGGCGGCGACGCAGGCCUUGGCCAGCAGCAGGAAGGUGAGCGCGAACGGCAGCGUGGCCGCGAACGUGAAGACGGUCUGCGACAGCUUGGCCUCGAGCAGCGCGAAGAAGGGGGAGGGCGGGAACCCCGCGGCCGCGAACACGGAGCGGAGCCGCGCCGCCACAGCGCGCAGCGCCCACGACGACGGCGCCAUCGCCUCCGACGCCAGCACCGCCGCCGAGAACGGCAGCGCCAGCAGCGCCGCCACGGAGGUGAAGCGGUGGUACCCGGCGAAGAACGCGGACACGGCAGCCCGCAUGACCCUCGUCGUCGUCGCCCGCCCCGCUGUCGUCACACCGUCGCGCGCCAGCCCCGCCGCUCUCCCCAUGUCGCACGCAACGCAACCCGCAAACCCGUAACCUCUCCGCUUCUUCUUCCUCACCUCAGAGAGCGAGCGAGAGGCGGAGGAGACGGAGCAAUCAGCAGCAAUGCAACAGCAUACUCGCGCUCGCCACCUUUAUGGCGGGACCGCUUGGCUGGCUGCGCGCCCGCCGAUGGAUGGAUGGAUGGUUGGCCGGUCAAGAGCAGGAGAGAGCUGGAAUGGA